rnacentral:piRNA from 1 species
UUCCUCCAGCCUCCACCUUGCUCUC